rnacentral:miRNA from 1 species
ACUCCAGAGAGUGACAAUCAUG